rnacentral:rRNA from 1 species
AUUGAACGCUGGCGGCAGGCCUAACACAUGCAAGUCGAGCGGAUGAAGGGAGCUUGCUCCUGGAUUCAGCGGCGGACGGGUGAGUAAUGCCUAGGAAUCUGCCUGGUAGUGGGGGAUAACGUCCGGAAACGGGCGCUAAUACCGCAUACGUCCUGAGGGAGAAAGUGGGGGAUCUUCGACCUCACGCUAUCAGAUGAGCCUAGGUCGGAUUAGCUAGUUGGUGGGGUAAAGGCCUACCAAGGCGACGAUCCGUAACUGGUCUGAGAGGAUGAUCAGUCACACUGGAACUGAGACACGGUCCAGACUCCUACGGGAGGCAGCAGUGGGGAAUAUUGGACAAUGGGCGAAAGCCUGAUCCAGCCAUGCCGCGUGUGUGAAGAAGGUCUUCGGAUUGUAAAGCACUUUAAGUUGGGAGGAAGGGCAGUAAGUUAAUACCUUGCUGUUUUGACGUUACCAACAGAAUAAGCACCGGCUAACUUCGUG